rnacentral:rRNA from 1 species
CAAGAACAGUUUCCACUAUCCUUACUUUGUUACGACUUAUCCUAAUAUAGGAGUGACGGGCGAUAUGUACGCAAUUUAUUAUAUUUUCAGUAAAGUAAUUUAAUCUUAACUUACUACUAAGUCCUCUUUCAAAUUUCAAUUUCAAGAAAUUAUUCAAUAAUUAUUGUAACCCAUUUAAUCCUUUAUCAUAAGCAACAUCUUGAUCUGAAUUAUUUAUUAAUUAAUAUUUUUAACUCACGUUUUUAAUAACGUGAAUUCAUACGACGAUAUAUUGACUGGAAAAACAAGAUAAAGUUUGAUUUCUCGUGGAUCAUCGAAUUAAAUAACAGGCUCCCAUAGGAAAUUAAAUUACCGCCAGGACAUUUGAUUUUUUAAUUAUUCUGGUAUUAAAAAAAAUGCAGUAAAGGAAUUAUAGGGUAUCUAAUCCUAGUUUAUUUCCAGAACUUUAUCAUUUCCUUAUUUUAAAUCUAUUAGUAAAUAUCUUAUUAGAAAUUCUACUUUCAUAAUAAAUAAAUGGAUUUAAUUUAAGUAUUUAUUGAAUUUUUAAACCAUAAAAUUUUGAGUCAAUUUUAGGGUAUAACAGCGAUUGCUGGCACCCCUUUUAGCCAAAUUUWAAAUUAGAUUCUACAUCCAUCUUUCGGUGAUAAAUUAAUUUUUUUUUAUUGAAUUCACUAAAAUUUUCAUAUAAAAAGUAAUAUUCCUAAAAUAAAGCCAUGCCCAAACUUAAAA